UCUCGGCGCCAAUUCUCCAGAUGUGGAAAGACGUUGACAGGCCACCUACGUUUUUAUCCGGAGCUUCGUUACUUUUUUUGAAAGAAAAAGAAUAAUAAUAAGAAGAAGUCCUUCUGGCAGCUGCCUCCUGAUUGGUCUUCAACACACAGGUCUUGAUACACUGGCAUGUGAUGUUGAUGGCUGGCCACAAGUGUCCGUUGGGGUGCUGACUGUUAUUGAUGAAGAAGAACCUCUCAUUCCAAAUAAACUGUACCUUGACCCAGUGUCUACUGCAGUCAUUGUGGAGGGAGGUAUAGUACUGGAUAAUCAGCAGAAUCUGCCUCAGGCAAUUUGCAUCUUGUUUGGUCUGUCUUAUGCUUUAAAUUUGAAGUACCCAAAAGGCAUUAUCAACAAUUUCAACUUCAUUCAGAAAGUGAUGCUUGGUUUGGGACAGAACAAACUGCCACCAAAACUACAAUCUCUAAAAAAUCUCCUGUUGAGCUGAGAUGUAAUCAAAUGUGCAAGAGUGAUGAUAUUUGACAUUUGAUAAAAAAAAAAAAAAUGUUCUGACAGUGGAAUAAGAGUAGUUGAUAGAAAAAAAAGGAAAACUAAGGCACUUGUUUAAACUUGAGCAAGUUAAGAGGCUGCCAGUGUAAUCGACGUGUGUCAGAGACAUUGCUUUUGGCACUUGUCAGCUUGUUGGUUCUAUCAAGUUUGGUCUCUGAAAUGUUGUUGAUUUAAAGUUGUUAUGAUUCAAGGUAUGGCCCAUUUACUUAUAUAGAUUUUAUAUACAUGUAUUUAGAUUUUUGUAUUGUAAAAUAUUUUUGUUUUAAACAUUUUAAAAACCUGACUAUUUGCAUUUUCUUUUUACCCCAGUGCAAACUUGUGUGUACCAUCCUUGUGUCAGUUGUUAAGAAAAAUAAAUAUAUUUACCUUUGAAUUGUA